rnacentral:misc_RNA from 1 species
UUUAUACGUAGGACAGUUUACACAUAACAUUCUCGUUGUGUAUAUAGUAUAAAAUUAUAAAUAUGUUUGUCUUUGUAAAACUGGAAUAUUUUGAAAGUUGUAUAAAUAUAAUGCUGCAUGUGAAUUGGUAUUCAUAGAAAACUUUGUAAACGUCACCCUUUGUGUUUGUGCGCCACCACAGCCCUUGUUAUUAAAACCAUUUUUGUAUACUGGGUAUGAAAGGUUUGGAAAGUGCCCAAGUAAUGUUGAAAUCCAGUGCUUUUUAUAAUACUAUUUUUGUGGAUCUAAAAUGUUAUGGCCAAACAAAAAAUAAUGGCAUCACUGGGAGUACAUACUUUAAACCAAGUUCCAAUGUUUUUGCAACAACCUGGCACAUUUUUUAAUAUUGCAGGUCAAGCUCAAACCAUCUUUACUCUUCCAGUCAAUAGUCAAGUGUCCAAUCAUGUCAGGACACUUCUGCUACCCAGCCAGCCAGUUCAAGACGUAGCUCUUCUUUCUGUCAUUCCCAGUGAAUCUGGAGGACAUGAUUCUGCACCAGCAUUUAAUAUUGGAGCUCUGUCACAUAACCAAUAUCAUGUUAUGACUCCUGACAUGCAAACAGUCAUGCCAAUCCCAGUGAAUAGAGACCAUGCUCAACCUAUACUCUUUCCUGCUGUUAGCUCAUCAGUGGACCCUAGGAGUCAGCUUCAGACUAUUCUCAUGUCUAACAAUAACAUAGUGUUGGGCUCUAGGAAACAAGUACAGACUGUGCUGGUUCCAAAUAGUGGUGGUGGGAAUAGUAUCCAACAGCUCCAAACAGCCUUAUUGUCUGAAAACAUAGUGUUGGACUCUAGGAAACAAAUCCAGACACUUCUGGUUCCUAGCAAUGGUGGAAGGAGUAGUAUUCAACAGCUUCAGACAGCUUUAUUGUCUGAAAACACUAUUGUAUUUGACCCUAGGAAGCAAGUCCAGACCCUCUUGGUUCCUAGUAGCAUUGGAGGAAAUAGUAUUCAAGAACUCCAACCAAUUGUGUUGCCAGUUAAUAGCAGUAUUGCAAAGUCUGGUCAACAGGUACAAACAAUAAUUGUUCCUGCCAACAGAGCUCUUCCUAGCCAAGGAACUGUUUUUCAGACAGUUAUAGUGCCAUCUACAGAUGUAGAGGCUCAGCCUAAUCACUCUGCACAUGCUUUUGUUUUACCUGAUAUAAACACCCUAAGUCAUAUCCAGGCUGUUUCUCCUAAUGCAGCAUCUGUGACAGACUCCAGCUGUCAGUUUCAAGUGUUGCUGACUCCAUCUGCCACAGAAUCUCUAGAAGUGAUCCAGCAACAAAGAAACGUAGUAGCAAUCCCAGUAUCAGAAGUGCUAGUUCCUAGUUCUAAUACCACUUCAGAAGCAUUGACUUUGUUGGCUGACUCCCAGUCUGUUUCAAAUAACCUGCUGUUUUACUUACCCCAGGAAGGAUUGGUUGUUGAAGUGCCUAAUUCCCAUAAUGAAGAACAAGCACGCCAGUGGUAUCAGGAUUCAGAAAUAGUUUGUCGAGGACUUGCAGCCUUGAGACAAGUGUUACCACAGUUACUUAGCUUUGAGAAUAUAACCUUGAAUAGCCCAACAGGGACCUCACCACAACAGACUUUCCAAACUAGCCCUGUAGAUAUGGUAUGUCAAGAGGAACCAGCAAUAGCAGAUGAAAACAUCCAGAAUGUUGGUUAGUUUUGGAUAUGAGGCUUGCAUUAACAGUGUAAUGAGAUUCUUGAAGAAUGGGCUGUGUUAGUCUUUCUAUAAGCAAGACUAACUAUAUCAAGGGAUGCUUUCUGACCUAUGAUAUGCUACUAUCAUGAAAAGUCAUGUCUUUGUGGAUGUUUUGCUAUGUUGAGAUGUCCUAUGUAUCAUAGGUCUGCUCUGCUAUGUUGAGAUGUUAAAGGAUACUCUACCAUGGUGUGAUGUCCUAUACCUGAGAAUGCUCUGCUAUGCUGAGAUGUCAAGAAUACAAGUGAUGGUCUGCUGUGAGAAAAUGUGACAAAAACAUAAUUUAUGUGACAAAAUGUGCUAAAAUUAGACUAUAUAAAAUUUGUGAUAGUAUGUGACAUUAAUAGCACUUACAUGACAUGAUGUGUUAAUAAAUGGUAAAGAAUGACUUGUAACAAA